AGCGGCGGACGGGUGAGUAACACGUGGGUAACCUGCCCAAGAGACUGGGAUAACACCUGGAAACAGAUGCUAAUACCGGAUAACAACACUAGACGCAUGUCUAGAGCUUGAAAGAUGGUUCUGCUAUCACUCUUGGAUGGACCUGCGGUGCAUUAGCUAGUUGGUAAGGUAACGGCUUACCAAGGCAAUGAUGCAUAGCCGAGUUGAGAGACUGAUCGGCCACAUUGGGACUGAGACACGGCCCAAACUCCUACGGGAGGCAGCAGUAGGGAAUCUUCCACAAUGGACGAAAGUCUGAUGGAGCAACGCCGCGUGAGUGAAGAAGGGUUUCGGCUCGUAAAGCUCUGUUGGUAGUGAAGAAAGAUAGAGGUAGUAACUGGCCUUUAUUUGACGGUAAUUACUUAGAAAGUCACGGCUAACUACGUGCCAGCAGCCGCGGUAAUACGUAGGUGGCAAGCGUUGUCCGGAUUUAUUGGGCGUAAAGCGAGUGCAGGCGGUUCAAUAAGUCUGAUGUGAAAGCCUUCGGCUCAACCGGAGAAUUGCAUCAGAAGCUGUUGAACUUGAGUGCAGAAGAGGAGAGUGGAACUCCAUGUGUAGCGGUGGAAUGCGUAGAUAUAUGGAAGAACACCAGUGGCGAACGCGGCUCUCUGGUCUGCAACUGACGCUGAGGCUCGAAAGCAUGGGUAGCGAACAGGAUUAGAUACCCUGGUAGUCCAUGCCGUAACGAUGAGUGCUAAGUGU
rnacentral:rRNA from 1 species